GAUGAACGCUGGCGGCGUGCUUAACACAUGCAAGUCGAACGGAAAGGCCCAAGCUUGCUUGGGUACUCGAGUGGCGAACGGGUGAGUAACACGUGGGUGAUCUGCCCUGCACUUCGGGAUAAGCCUGGGAAACUGGGUCUAAUACUGGAUAGGACCACUUCUUGGAUGUUGUGGUGGAAAGUUUUUUCGGUGUGGGAUGAGCUCGCGGCCUAUCAGCUUGUUGGUGGGGUAAUGGCCUACCAAGGCGUCGACGGGUAGCCGGCCUGAGAGGGUGUACGGCCACAGUGGGACUGAGAUACGGCCCAGACUCCUACGGGAGGCAGCAGUGGGGAAUAUUGCACAAGGGGCGCAAGCCUGAUGCAGCGACGCCGCGUGGGGGAGGACGGCCUUCGGGUUGUAAACUCCUUUCGCUAGGGACGAAGCGUUUUGUGACGGUACCUGGAGAAGAAGCACCGGCUAACUACGUG
rnacentral:rRNA from 1 species